ACGAGGAACCGUGCCUCGCAUGCGGCUGUCAGAGCAAAACACUUUUGCUGCUUAAACUCAGAUCUGCGCCUUUUGCCGUAAUAAAGCAAGGAUAAAUAACUGCCAUAAAGCCUCCGCCGCGCCGCCAACCACACCUUCGGAGGAAGGCAGAAAUAUGUGACCUGCUGAGCGACGUGGGUACUUUUUGGAAGGUGAUUUUUUUUUCCCCCUGCAAAAGUGAACUGUAGCUCACUGUUGGCUUGGAAGAUCACGUCCUCACUGGGUGAGCCAGCAGAACCACCACGCUUGCCCUUCUUCCCACGGAAAAGCCUGCAGCGUCCUAUAAAACAUCCUCGAAGAGGAAGCUGAGCAAAACAGGACACUUUGCUGCUUUACCUUCAGAUAAAAACAAAACAAAACAAAAAAACGUGGAUCACGUCACAGGUACUUGGGGAGCGCAAGACCCUGGCAGCUCUCCUAAAUGUCGAGCGUACAGUUGGAAUCACAGCACAUACAGGAUCAAACACCCACUAGUUUCUCUCUCCCCGUAGCCCCCCCUUGCCUACUUUUGUCCAUAAAAGCAAUAGAAAGAGAGAAAGCUUGAAUUUGCUGAACUGUUUCACCCAUCCACAGCUGGAAUUCCAAAGUGAAAUGAAAAUGCCUUUAAAAUCAACCCUACAUGGGAGCCUGAGAGAACAAGUUUUCCUUUGUUGUAGGGUAUAGUAUUAUUUGCUGUAGGUUUUUGAUAUACAUUCUAAAUUAGGCCUGCAAAGGAAUGCUUCAUCUUUAAUUCAUCACUCUCAGCUGAAAGAGAUUAGCAAUGUCUAGCACGCACCCUUCGUAUGGUGCUGACCUCAUCAAGUAUGGCCUGAAAUUAAUUAGCCUCAUUCAUUCCAAAUGGAAAAGGAUAAUGGAGCUGCAUUUUAGAGAUGACCAUCACAAAUUGUAUGCAGCAUAUUUAAAAUCCCUCCCCCUUCGCUCCCCUCCCCAUUUAAAAAACUAUGUAGAUUAAAAUUCUUUCCAGAACUUGCAAUAUGUCAGAGUUAUCGAGGCAUCGGGAGCAGAAACCACUCUGUUUUUAUUUGUGGAACUGGGAGCCACAUUUUGUAUGUGUGGCUGUAAAAGCGGCGAGUCUGUCUUGAUGGCAGAACACCUGGAAUUAAUUUGAUAUUUCCAGGUGCUCUGGAAAACCGAGGCAUCAAGCACUUGAUGUUUAAACAUUCUUCCACCCGCUCACUUAAAUCAAUAUGAAAGUGGUGUCCCUUUGUCAUUCAUACAUGCAAAGUGCUAGCACAAACUCCAGCUUGGCUUCAGAGUCCUACAUCACUCAUAAUCUAAUUAGAAAUCAGAGCAGAGCUGAAGCAGCAUUCUUUGUGGAUUCUUGGGCAGCAAAUAGGGAUACUUGUCUUUUGUUUCCCUCCCCGAUGGCAUUGUUCACAAGCUUUCACACCACAUCUCUAAAGGUGGUUAGGUGCCUCAAGAUGUUGACAGCCCUGAAGGACAAGAUUAUUUAGGUAUUCAGGUGCCAACCCUGGGUGAUUUCAAACAGAAUUAAGCAACUGGACGUUACUGGG
rnacentral:lncRNA from 7 species